UCUUACGGCCACACCACCCAGAACACGCCCGAUUGCAUCUGAUCUCAGAAGUUAAGCAAGGUCACUUCAAUUCAAUUUUAUUUAUAUAGUACCAAAUCACAACAAACAGUCACUUUAAGGU
rnacentral:rRNA from 1 species